rnacentral:lncRNA from 1 species
UAUUACGCGAUCUAGCGGCCCGAACCUGUCUAAAUCGUGUUCCUUACAUCACCAUUGAUUUCUUGAUUCUCGACGACCCUUACCGCAUAAAAGACCACCUAGGGUACCCCUAGGCGGGUUGCCGGUCUAAAACACCGACAGCUGGCGCGCCAGGUAGGGGCACUCGUCGAGUUUCUCAGCGUGAACUCAAUGGCGAAAGUCAUCAUCA